rnacentral:lncRNA from 1 species
CACACCUGACCGCGGGGACCGCGGGGAUGCGGGCGGCUUGAUGGCGCAGACGGGUGCGGCCGUCACCUGCCGGGACCCGCCGGGGGCGCGGGCUGGGGGCCCCCACAGGAAGGCCGGCCGCUGGGUUUCCGCGCGCUCCGGAGAAUGGAGCGGGCCUGGGGGACUGGCGCGUGUGGCUGGUCCUGGACGCGCGAUGUCCCCGCUCCGUCUGCGGCCUCAUCCAAGUCCUCCGAACUCACAUGAAAAACAACGAGAACCACCCGACCCCACUCUGCUUGCGGUGCGCGCGCAUCUCUGCUCUGGGACUGGGCGUGGCCGAGUCCGCAGCCACCUGCUGGCGGGUUCUCCACCCGAGAACCACCGCAGCAGCGACGACCCGGCGCACCUGCAGCGGCUUCACCUCGCGGUACCGUCGGAGAGCAAGACGCACGUAGGCGCAGCGCACUGGACCCUGUCCUUUCAUGCCCUCCUUCUCCGAGUUGCUGGGGCAGGGGGGGAGGGGUGGCGGACGAAAUUGUGCAUUCCCAGCACCCGCUCCCAGUCACAGCCCUCCUACCUCCUUCCGCCCUCUCCUCUCAUCCCCUCUCUCUGCUGUUACACCUUUAAAGUCAUUCCUGACUUUGAAGAAACUUCUCAAGUAUCACGUAAACUUAUCAUCUAGACAGAAAUUCUGUAUUGUGUUAAAUAAACUCUAUCCUUAUCUGACUGACUUGAAGAAG